AUCCGUCUGACGAGUCCUAGAAAUAGGACGAAACCCGUGUUCUAGAU
rnacentral:hammerhead_ribozyme from 1 species